AGUGCAAUUGCUGGAUAGUAUGGUAAGUGUAUCUUCAGCUUUUAAAGAAACUACCAAACUAUUUUCCAGAGUGGCUGUACCAUUUUAAUCCCACAUGUGAU
rnacentral:pre_miRNA from 1 species